CCUCUAGAGUGCUAGGAUUACAGUCCUGUCUAGAGCUGGAACAUGCUAUGAAACCGACAGAAGAUUGUCUCCCACCGCCUUCUCAAGAGUACACCAGAACCUUAGACCAUGUCUCUUUGUGUGAGUCAAUCUUCCUUGUCAGCUUGCUGGGAUUUAGAAUUCUGCGGAAACACGCACCUAAGCAUGUCUGCGAGGGUGUUUCUGAGGAGGCUUAACUGAGGUAGAAAGACCCACCCUGACUAUGAGCAGCCGCAUCCUGUGGGCUGGAGUCCAGCAUGCUGAAGAAGGAAAGAGUAAGCUGGAAAACAAUGCUCAUCCCUCUCUGUGUCCUGACCUCGGAUGCUGUGUGACCAACCACCUUGAGCUUCUGCCACCAUUACCUCUCACCUUGAUGGACUGAAUCCUCACACUGAAACCCCACCCUCCAAGUGAGCAGAGUCAGAGAUCCACAAGGACCUGCCCUGAGACUCCCUGUGGCCUGCACACAGUAGAAUAAACUUCCAUGUGUUCCUGGGCCCUCACCAGCAACACCCAGCAUGCCCCACACUGAACCCCAAGGGAACCAGGAUGACCCUACAGGCAAUGAGGGACACAAGAGCAAGAAGGAUCACUGGUGAGCU